AGCGAUCGCUGGCGGCAGGCUUAACACAUGCAAGUCGAACGGUCCUUCGGGAUAGUGGCGGACGGGUGAGUAACACGUGGGAACGUACCCUUAGGUUCGGAACAACACAGGGAAACUUGUGCUAAUACCGGAUAAGCCCUUCGGGGGAAAGAUUUAUCGCCUUUGGAGCGGCCCGCGUCUGACUAGCUUGUUGGUGAGGUAAUGGCUCACCAAGGCUACGAUCAGUAGCUGGUCUGAGAGGAUGGCCAGCCACACUGGGACUGAUACACGGCCCAGACUCCUACGGGAGGCAGCAGUGGGGAAUCUUGCGCAAUGGGCGAAAGCCUGACGCAGACAUGCCGCGUGGAUGAUGAAGGUAUUAGGAUUGUAAAAUCCUUUCACCAGGGACGAUAAUGACGGUACCCGGAGAAGAAGCCCCGGCUAACUUCGUGCCAGCAGCCGCCGCGG
rnacentral:rRNA from 1 species